rnacentral:rRNA from 1 species
UACGUAGGGGGCAAGCGUUGUCCGGAAUCAUUGGGCGUAAAGAGCGCGUAGGCGGCCCGAUAAGUCCGCUGUGAAAGUCAAGGGCUUAACCCUUGAAUGCCGGUGGAAACUGUCGGGCUAGAGUCCGGAAGAGGCGAGUGGAAUUCCUGGUGUAGCGGUGAAAUGCGCAGAUAUCAGGAAGAACACCCGUGGCGAAAGCGGCUCUCUGGGACGGUACUGACGCUGAGACGCGAAAGCGUGGGGAGCGAACAGG